rnacentral:lncRNA from 1 species
CCCUGAGAGCUUGCUGGGUGAUUCCAAUCAACCCUGCUUCAUUCACCAGACCUGGGUUCGCUCAGGCCUCCAUACCCUGGCCCCGUCCGGAAACGGGAGGCUCCUCUCAAAAGGCAAGAAGGAAACUCCCCUGAGCCUUUGGAAGGGAGAAGCACAGGGAUUCGCCCAGCUCUGGGUCCACCACAAAGCCACCAAAGCCCCCAUUCCUUCCACAGCAGCAGCAGCAGCAGCAGCAGCAGCAGCAGCAGCAGCAGCAGCCGCCUGAUUCUCCACCCACAUCCACCACCGACGGUCAGGGCCUGGCAAAUGGCCAGCUCCCGAGACCACACAGAUGCUGGGCGGGUCUCCGCUCCUGCGUCUGGAGGAACACAAGGCGUUCCGACACCCAGUGACUCCUUCCAGCAGCCUUCGAAGCACACUCCCAAGCCACCAGGCUGCCGAUCCACCUCCCAAUGCUACAGGGACGCCUGUGUCCUCUGCCUGACAGGAGGCGUCUUGGACCAAACAGUCCCCGGUGCCCAGGAACCAACGCAAAGGCCUCUGGGCGCUUGCUGUGGCUUCCUAUCCACACACUCUCCAUCCCACCACUCAGCCUGCACCUGCAGCCUUGCCGCUGCACCUGGGUCCAGAAGGUGCUCUGGCGCCGUCUUGUGGACACCUGCUCUAACAGCAACUCUCAGGUUUUCCUCCUCUCUCUGCCUCAGCCGCCCCCAGGGCGGCACUGGCUGGGGGCAAUAUGCUCCUGGAAUGGCCUUCCCCCGCAGCUGCCCUGCCCUGCCGCCGCCGCCGCCGCCCCCGCCGCCGGCCUGAUCUAGCAAGAAGGGCCAAUCCAGGAGGGCCAUUGCUCUCUCAAAGGCUUUCGGAGCCUGGAGGCCCACCUCCACCUUGCCACUCCAUGCAAACCUUCAGCUCCCAACCCAUCCUAUCAGGACAGCCUUCUCCCUUUGGGAGAUAGCCCUGCCACGAUGCCGUUAUGGAGACAGGUCCGUAGGUAUGUACCCACUGAUUUUGUUCAAGCUUUCCAGCUGUGACUCCUUCAUUCCUAUGCCAGAAUACUGCUUCUUUCCGUUCAUUCCUUUUGUCCUCUCUUUCCCUCGUGCUUCCUAGUGUAUGGACCCCACCGCAGCUGGCCUGAGUUGUCUGCACGUCGAUGUUUUCCCAGCAGCAGAGGUGAGCACGCCCGCCACAGGGACAAAGACAGCUCUGUUCCCCAGGGGAUUGGGGGGACUCUUGGGGACACCUCCCUUGUUCGCAAUCAAUCUACCAGCCUUAGGUCCGAUUUCCGGACCAGCUGUAUUGAGGGAACGGAAGAGGCUCCAAGGUAAAGACAAGGACGGCGUUUCAGGAGACCUCAGGCGAGAAACUGCCCAGGGAUUAACACAGCUGCUCACCAAAGGAUCACCGUUUGACCACCUUCCAUGCACGACCCUCAGGCACUUUCCUCCUGGCACCAGAGCCCAGGUCAGCCUGGGGUCUCCCAAUCAACAGCUCGACCGCAGACACCAGCCAACAGCCCAACAAAACCCCAAACCCAAGGGAAAAUGGCAAAAGACCUCAAGAG